GUCUAAAGGGAACAGUGUUAUAUGUAUCAUCUGAUAAUUUGGGAGCACAUUCAUUUGCUGGUUUUCAGGAGUCCUUUAAUGUUGACAAGUUUUGUCGUUUUUGUUUAGCCAGUCGUAGUGAUAUUCAGAGUUGUUCUGUGCAAAGUAAGUCAUUUUUGUUGAGAACAAAUGAGUCCUACAAUGAGAGUAUUUCCAGGCUGAAGGAGAAUGAGUGCUUGAAAAGUGUUGACGGAGUGAAAAGAGACUGUGUAUUGAACAAAUUAUCUUACUUUCAUUGUAUAAAAGGUUUUCCUCCUGACUUCUUACAUGACCUGUUAGAAGGUGUUGUACCUUUUGAACUCUGUUUGUGUUUGAAAAAAUUAAUUCAACAGAAGUACUUUACAUUGGACUAUUUGAACACUGUCAUACAGCGCUUCCCCUACAAAUUUUCUGACAGUGUUAACCGUCCACAGAGAAUUCCAGAAAAAGUACUUAAAAGUAAAACUAUAGGAGGCAACGGCCAUGAAAAUUGGACCCUUUUGAGGUUGCUGCCUCUGUUCAUAGGGGAUGUUGUUCCUGAAAAUGAUGAUGCAUGGGCUGUAAUUCUGGAACUUAAAGACAUUGUGGAACUUUUGGCAUCCUCCAGUUUUACAGAUGAAAGCUUGUGUUAUCUUGAUGCCAAAAUAAGUGAGCACAGAAAACUAUUACUGACUGUGUUUCCAGGACUGCAACUGAAACCUAAACAUCAUUUUAUUGAACACUACACUCAUUUGAUCCGCUGCUUUGGACCACUGGUAGAGUUCUGGACGUUACGAUUCGAAGCGAAACAUAGUUUCUUCAAAAAAGUGGUUCGUGAUGUCAAUAAUUUCAAAAACAUUCUAUUGACUCUGUCCCUCAGACAUGAACUUAUGUUGGCAUACUACCUGGACACGCCCAACCUGUUUAAACCAACAGUGGAAUUAAAAGGAGUAUCAAAUAUUUCCCUGGACAUUCUGGCCCCCUCUGUCAAACAAGUGAUUGAGAAGAAAUGUAGAACUCUGAGCAGUGUAUCUCUGGCCACAACCGCAUACAUUCACGGGACAAGAUACACCAAGGGAAUGUUCUUGUCAGUUGGAAGCACAAGUGGCCUUCCUGAUUUUUGUAAGAUUAUACAUGUGUUGCUUGUAUGCAACAAGCUAUUUUUUCUUCUGGAACCUUUCUCAGCUUGGUAUCUGGAGCACCUACGAUGUUACGAAGUCUGCAAGAGAGACCCUACUCAACUGACGGUAGCCGAACCUGAAGACCUGAACCACUACAUCCCAUUGUCAGCAUACACCGUGCACGGCCGACUUCUGGUUUCACCGAAGGCAUUUCCUGUACAUUAAGACGUCAACGACAGAGUACAAGACGGUUCAAGUCUGCAAGAGAGACCCUGCUCAACUGACGGUAGCUGAACCACUUACAUCCCCGUUGUCAGCAUACACUGUGCAAGGCUGACUCGUGGUUUCAGGGAUUUCUUGUACAUUAAGUCAGACGUCAACAACAGAGUACAAGACGGUGCUAGUUCAUCCUGUCCAAGAUCAAC